UUUGCCGCAGCAUAGAUCCAUACAAGAUUCCAAGACAAAAAUAUAUUGAAAAUUUACAGUAUUUGACAACAGUGAUACCUUAUCACGUGGACAGUGGCCCACCUGAUGAUCAAGCUUUACAAGUCCUCAUUAAGAUAUUGAAGGCUAUUAAUGAGGAUAGUCCAACGGUGCCCACAUUAUUAACGGACUACAUAUUGAAAGUUCUGUGCCCCAUCUAGUGAUCCACUAGUACAUAUCCUCCGACGUGACA
rnacentral:lncRNA from 1 species